GAUGAACGCUGGCGGCGUGCCUAAUACAUGCAAGUCGAGCGAACAGAUGAGGAGCUUGCUCCUCUGACGUUAGCGGCGGACGGGUGAGUAACACGUGGAUAACCUACCUAUAAGACUGGGAUAACUUCGGGAAACCGGAUCUAAUACCGGAUAAUAUAUUGAACCGCAUGGUUCAAUAGUGAAAGACGGUUUUGCUGUCACUUAUAGAUGGAUCCGCGCCGCAUUAGCUAGUUGGUAAGGUAACGGCUUACCAAGGCAACGAUGCGUAGCCGACCUGAGAGGGUGAUCGGCCACACUGGAACUGAGACAAGGUCCAGACUCCUACGGGAGGCAGCAGUAGGGAAUCUUCCGCAAUGGGCGAAAGCCUGACGGAGCAACGCCGCGUGAGUGAUGAAGGUCUUCGGAUCGUAAAGCACUGUUAUUAGGGAAGAAAAAAUGUGUAAGUAACUAUGCACGUCUUGACGGUACCUGAUCAGAAAGCCACGGCUAACUACGUG
rnacentral:rRNA from 1 species